AUGCAGACUUCCAGCAGAUUAGGAAUCAGAACCUACUCAACACAUUCUAUGCUGAGCUUGACUGCCAUCUUCCUCGAUUGAUGACCUUAUUCAGACAGAAGGCAUCAAGAACUGGGAAGACAGCAGAUGCUCCAGCUGACAUUUUAAAAAUCCACGAUGAACAGAAAAUGUAUGAUAUCCACACCAAGCGCUCUACUGUUCUCCAUGCCCUUCCUGUGUAUCUGCACAAGGAUGUUUCUUGAUUUUUCAGAACCUGCACAGACCAGUCUGAUGAGCCAGAGCUUGAUGGGGUUACAGUGGGCCUCCUUAAUGUCAUCACUGACCAUGGCACAAGUCCAGUUAACUACAAUACUGUGAGGAUCUCUGUCAUCAUUGAAAGUGAUGCUGUUGUCAGCCUCCCCAGACUUGGCGAUGCCUCCCAGGUAAUCUUUGGACUAAUCUAUGCACUACACCUCAGCUAUCCCAGAGCACUGACCAACACUUUUUAGUUCACU